rnacentral:rRNA from 1 species
GAACGGAGGAUGCAAGUGUUAUCCGGAAUCACUGGGCGUAAAGGCGUCUGUAGGUGGUUUAAUAAGUCAACUGUUAAAUCUUGAGGCUCAACCUCAAAAUCGCAGUCGAAACUAUUAGGCUAGAGUAUAGUAGGGGUAAAGGGAAUUUCCAGUGGAGCGGUGAAAUGCGUAGAGAUUGGAAAGAACACCGAUGGCGAAGGCACUUUACUGGGCUAUUACUAACACUCAGAGACGAAAGCUAAGGGUAGCAAAUGGGG